rnacentral:rRNA from 1 species
UACAGAGGGUGCGAGCGUUGUCCGGAAUCACUGGGCGUAAAGGGCGCGUAGGUGGCGACCCAAGUCCAUGGUGAAAGCUCGUCGCUCAACGACGAGUCGGCCACGGAUACUGGGUUGCUUGAGCACCGUAGAGGCUAAUGGAAUUCCGGGUGUAGCGGUGGAAUGCGUAGAGAUCCGGAAGAACACCGGUGGCGAAGGCGGUUAGCUGGGCAGUUGCUGACACUGAGGCGCGACAGCGUGGGGAGCAAACAGG